CUGUUCCUUCUCCUCUCUCCUCCGUAUGUGACUGUCAAACCACCCACCGCCUCCCUUCACAGGAAGAGACAACUCUGGGACUGAGCACCAACUGUCUGAGGACUUCUCUGGGUGACUGCGACUCAAUGGCUGCUAACAAGUCACGCGUAAAGAGCAAGACAAAAAUGUGCCAGAGCAGACGCCCGUACACUGUCAUGUACCGGAAAAUGAAAACUUCUCAUAGAAGUUACGCCAAUUCAGACGGCUAAUGACCCGACAAAAGGCAAAAUAUGUGCAUUUUUAGUGACAGUGGGCAUGGUUUUAGGUGCGUCAAUUAUUUCACCAGGAUUUAGAAACCCGACCUACCCGCCAACUCCUAGAAAAGUAAUGACAAACUUAAAAUCCUGAAAUGUUUUAUGAUCGGCCAAAAAGACAGCUGAAGAAAACAGAAUGGAAUGGAGACCUUUCACAAGAUGCCCCACAAGAGCAGAGGUGAGGCAGCUGUACGUCUUGCCGGUGCUCUGUGCACGCCCACCUGCCCCUGGAAGCACCUCCACAAGUGUGUAAGAGCAUCCCAGAAGCCGCCAGUGGGCAGCAGGCAAGGAGCUCGCUGCGCCGCGGUCAAGGAAGGUGUGGGUGCUGGGGUCCACGUGACCGACACACAGUGCUUCUCCUUAAGGACCAGACAUCCCCACUUCUGAAAGACCCUAACUUGAGGAUUCUUCAGAAUUCUCUAGAAGCCGCUGACUACAGAAGCAGACACCUCCUACCCAAGACAGUGAAACGAGACUUUCUUCAUUAGUGAGUCUAGCUGAUUUACAACGCUGUGGCAGAACAAGGCUGUUUCUGAUUCAUGCGCCACUUUUCUGUCCUUUGCUUGGCCGAUCUUACCUAUCAGCACAGCCGGGCCACUGUCAGGACAGUAACAGGAGUUUCCUUAUCUUCAUCCUGUUACUCGUAUCCCCUAAGGUCUCCGGUUUCUACCUCGGGACUCAGAGAACUCUCCGGAACAUGUUCCCGACCCUCGACCCUCGACCCUCAACCCUGGGGGAUUGCUCCAGACGACCCUCUGCUGGACCUGACGCCCGCCGCCCGCCGGCUGUCCUUACAAGCACGGUCAAGAAUACGCCGUCCUUUCACGUGGCCUUUAGCCCUGCUCAGGGAAAGGCUUGGGCACUAAGAACCUGCACUUCGUUCCGACACAGCACACUUCUCUACGAGGAGGGGAGAAGAGGGUUCACAUUACCAUCAGCUGCAGCAAAACUGGAACAGGAUUAAGACGGCGGAACAGAAAGACUGGAGCUCAACUGCUCUCCCCAAAACAACAGAAUUUACAACCAAAUGCUGCCCAAUUUUCAACCAAAUGGACCAGAAGCUUUCAAAAAGACAUCCUACUCCAGAAGACACAGAGGACACCACAUCAAGAGGUAGGAGGGGCAAUUACGUGAUAUGAGCAACCCCAUACCUCCGUAGUGGGAAGCCCCACAGACUGGAAAGUAACUGGUUCAGAGACUCACCUACAGGAGUGAGAGUUCUGAGCCCCACAUCAAACUCUCACAUGUGGGGAUUCGGCACUGGGAGAAAGAGCCCCUGGAGCACUGGGCAUUGAAGGCCAGUGGGGCUUAUGUGCAGGAGCUCCGUGGGACUGGGGGAAAUAGAGACCCCACUCUUAAAAGGCACACACAGAAUUUCAUGUGCACUGGGUCCCAGGGCAAAGCAAAGUCUCCAUAGGAAUCUGGGUCAAACCUGACUGCAGUUCUUGGAGGACCUCCUGGGAAAAAAGGGGUGAAGGUGGCUUAUUGUGAGGGAGGGACAUUGGAAGCAAAGCUCUCGGGAAUCUUUAGCAGCAUGCCUUUCUCUGGAGGUGGCCUGUUUUUUGGGAAAAUCUGGCCCCACCCAUUGGUGCUGAGAAGCCCUAGGGCAAACAACAGUCCAGGUGGGAUCACAGCCCUGCCCAUCAGUAAACAGGCUGCCUAAAGACCCCCCCGCACACCGUCACCUCUAAUCUCACCCAGAGACAAAGCCCCACCCACCAGAGAGAUAGGAAUCAGCCCCAUCUACCAAUGGGUAGGCACCAGUCCCUCCCAUCUGGAAGCCUACAGCAAGCUCCCAUACCAACUUCAGCCACAAGGGGGGCAGACACCAGAAGAAAGAGAUAGUAUAACUCUAUUGUCUGCAAAAAGGAGAACACACCAAAAACCUAUAAAAAUGAAAAGGCCACGAGCUAUAACUCAGGUAAGGGAGAAAGGAAAAAACCCAGAAAAACAGCUAGGUGAUCUGGAGAUUCUCAGCCUCAAGGAAAAAGACUUUAUAGACUGUUGAUGCUGAAGAUGAUGUAAGACACUGGAAAUAAACUGGAGGCAAAGACGGGUAACUUACAGGAAACCCUGAGCAAAGAGAUACAAGAUACAAAACUUAAGUAAGAAGAGAUGCAAAAUACAACAACUGAAAUAAAAAAUUCAUUAGAAGCAGCCAACAGCAGAAUACAGGAGGCAGAAGAAUGAAUGAGCGAGGAGGAUGGCAGAUUAGUGGAAAUUACAGAUGC
rnacentral:lncRNA from 1 species